GCGGCGAUAGCUCAAGUGGGUAAAGCGCCAGGUGAGUAGAUGGCGACUACUCCGAGAGCUAUUCUCCGCGCGGGUUCGAAUCCCGCCUGUGGCA
rnacentral:tRNA from 1 species